rnacentral:rRNA from 1 species
GACGAACGCUGGCGGCGUGCCUAAUACAUGCAAGUUGAGCGCUGAAGGUUGGUACUUGUACCAACUGGAUGAGCAGCGAACGGGUGAGUAACGCGUGGGGAAUCUGCCUUUGAGCGGGGGACAACAUUUGGAAACGAAUGCUAAUACCGCAUAAAAACUUUAAACACAAGUUUUAAGUUUGAAAGAUGCAAUUGCAUCACUCAAAGAUGAUCCCGCGUUGUAUUAGCUAGUUGGUGAGGUAAAGGCUCACCAAGGCGAUGAUACAUAGCCGACCUGAGAGGGUGAUCGGCCCCAUUGGGACUGGGACACGGCCCAAACUCCUACGGGGGGCAGCAGUAGGGAAUCUUCGGCAAUGGGGGAAAGGCUGACCGGGCAACGCCGCGUGAGGGAAGAAGGGUUUCGGAUCGUAAAACUCUGUUGGUAGAGAAGAACGUUGGUGAGAGUGGAAAGCUCAUCAAGUGACGGUAACUACCCAGAAAGGGACGGCUAACUACGUG